CAGAGAACAUUCAGUCACUCCAAGUGGAGAGAUGAAAGCUCCUUCUGGGAGUGCUGAUGGAGAGGGUUUAAGGCUAUGAAGCUGCAGGACUUUACAAGUGGCUGAGCUAGGAGUGGAAACACCAAGGUGCUCUCCUUUCACCACUCUUGCAUACCCCACAAGAGGAGGACUUGUUUCAGUUUGGUCAGAGAGACAAACAACCCUACUUAUGAAAGGGAACCACAGCACAGCCAGAAGGAAACUGAGGCAGCAGCCAUUCCCUGACCUAAAGAGGUCUUUUCACGAAAUAGUUUGACAAUGGCUUUGAAAAACACCUGCACAGAGAUCCCAGUGAGAAUGUGAUUGAUUCGGGGCAUCUUGUGAUGUGAUCAGCAAGCAGGAGGCAAAAAGUAUGGGACCAGCAUAGCAUGAUGGAAUGAGCACAAAUUCAGCUUUUCAGUGAGUUCUCCAAAGUAACCCUACAUCAUUUCCAUUAUGGAGGGCAGCAGAAUGUACUGGAUCAUUGAUGACUUAAGAAAACAGGUAGGGAAAUGGAGAUUGUACAUGUCCCAUGGAUGGGCAAAAUAAGAGAGUGCUUACAGUCGUUAAAGGAAUGAAGGAAAUGAGAUGGCUAGGGCAGGGAAUUUAUAUCUAUUGUAACAUAUGGAAGCUUUUGUCUAGUUGAGCAGAUACGAUGGGAAGAGAUGGAAGAAUCACAGUGUACAUUUCUGGCAGAGGCGUUAAAGGUAGAGUCCAUGGUCCAAAUCCUGGGCCCACUGAAGUCAAUGGGACCAUGAUUUCACACCAAGACUCUACUGAAAAGUUUGUGCUGAUGGCAGACUUGAAAGAGGAACAUAAUGUUAGGAUGAGUUUUAAAGAUUAUUUUGGAGUGCUAGGAAUAUUUGAAAUAACGAAUCACUGUACAACACAAGUUACAUCAAACCCCAAACUUCAAUUAAAAAGGAAGCAGUGGGGAAUCAUAUUAUAAUAUGUUGUUACAUUUAAUAUUAUGGUUCUAGAAAACCUUUUGUGCACAGAGUAAGAUUCAUGCUCCUAAACUAGCGACCAGUUAGUAUUAGGGGCAUAAAUGAAGAUGUAAAGAAGCUACUGGAUUUUUGCAAAAGCGAUUUCUGUGUAACAACAGGAACAAAGAAAGGAAGAUUUGAUCACAAGACACUUUUAAAAACAAGAGACCAGGAAACUAGGAUGAUCCCAUUCUAUUUGAGAGGAAAUAUUUUCUAUCAAUGUGCAGAAAAAUCAUACCAAAAAUUGCAAAAGGAAGUCAGAGCGGCAUUCCAAAUCAAUUUUUCAGCACCAAGAGGGGAAAGCGAACUAGAAGAGUUUGAGGAGUUGGGCAAGCAGAAAGCAACAGUAUUAGUUUCAAAGGAUCUCACUUUUUGACCAUCAGGGAGAGUGUAAACAAGCACAGAAAAGGAGGAUCUGAAGAUUGAAGAGUGGAUAAGAAAUAAUGGGAAGAUGAAAGUGGAGCCAGAAUGUUGAUUAAGAGCAAUCAAGAAAACCAAUAGUGUCAGAGAAUGCAUGGAGUAAAGGAUGGUAAAUAAGAGAAAAAAAUCACUUUGUUUUUGCUAAGCUAAGUGAUAGGAAUGGAAGGAAUCUCAUAUCUAAGGUAAUAUGU